AUAACGACUCUCGGCAACGGAUAUCUCGGCUCUCGCGUCGAUGAAGAACGUAGCAAAAUGCGAUACUUGGUGUGAAUUGCAGAAUCCCGUGAACCAUCGAGUUUUUGAACGCAAGUUGCGCCCGAAGCCAUUAGGCUAAGGGCACGUCUGCCUGGGUGUCACGU
rnacentral:rRNA from 1 species